rnacentral:rRNA from 1 species
UACGUAGGGGGCGAGCGUUGUCCGGAGUUACUGGGCGUAAAGGGCAUGCAGGCGGUCGGACGCGUUUCGGGUGACAGCGGGUGGCUUAACUACCCGAGUGGUCGAAAGACGGUUUGACUUGAGGACGCGAGAGGGACACGGAAUUCCGGGUGGAGUGGUGAAAUGCGUAGAGAUCCGGAGGAACACCGAAGGCGAAGGCAGUGUCCUGGCGCGUAACUGACGCUGAGGUGCGAAAGCGUGGGGAGCAAACAGG